rnacentral:rRNA from 1 species
AGUCGAACGAGCGAGAGAGAGCUUGCUUUCUCGAGCGAGUGGCGAACGGGUGAGUAACGCGUGAGGAACCUGCCUCAAAGAGGGGGACAACAGUUGGAAACGACUGCUAAUACCGCAUAAGCCCACGACCCGGCAUCGGGUAGAGGGAAAAGGAGCAAUCCGCUUUGAGAUGGCCUCGCGUCCGAUUAGCUAGUUGGUGAGGUAACGGCCCACCAAGGCGACGAUCGGUAGCCGGACUGAGAGGUUGAACGGCCACAUUGGGACUGAGACACGGCCCAGACUCCUACGGGAGGCAGCAGUGGGGAAUAUUGCACAAUGGGGGAAACCCUGAUGCAGCGACGCCGCGUGGAGGAAGAAGGUCUUCGGAUUGUAAACUCCUGUUGUUGAGGAAGAUAAUGACGGUACUCAACAAGGAAGUGACGGCUAACUACGUGCCAGCAGCCGCGGUAAAACGUAGGUCACAAGCGUUGUCCGGAAUUACUGGGUGUAAAGGGAGCGCAGGCGGGAAGACAAGUUGGAAGUGAAAUCCAUGGGCUCAACCCAUGAACUGCUUUCAAAACUGUUUUUCUUGAGUAGUGCAGAGGUAGGCGGAAUUCCCGGUGUAGCGGUGGAAUGCGUAGAUAUCGGGAGGAACACCAGUGGCGAAGGCGGCUUACUGGGCACCAACUGACGCUGAGGCUCGAAAGUGUGGGUAGCAAACAGGAUUAGAUACCCUGGUAGUCCACACUGUAAACGAUGAUUACUAGGUGUUGGAGGAUUGACCCCUUCA